rnacentral:rRNA from 1 species
CAGCAGCCGCGGUAAUACGAAGGGGGCUAGCGUUGCUCGGAAUCACUGGGCGUAAAGGGUGCGUAGGCGGGUCUUUAAGUCAGGGGUGAAAUCCUGGAGCUCAACUCCAGAACUGCCUUUGAUACUGAAGAUCUUGAGUUCGGGAGAGGUGAGUGGAACUGCGAGUGUAGAGGUGAAAUUCGUAGAUAUUCGCGAGAACACCAGUGGCGAAGGCGGCUCACUGGCCCGAUACUGACGCUGAGGCACGAAAGCGUGGGGAGCAAACAGGAUUAGAUACCCCCGUAGUCCCUGUCUCUUAUAC